AUAGUACUGUGAAGGAAAGGUGAAAAGGACCCCGGGAGGGGAGUGAAAGAGAACCUGAAACCCUGUGUCUACAAGCUGUGGAAGUACUUCUUAGGUACGACCGCGUACUUUUUGUAGAACGGUCCGGCGAGUUACGCUUACUGGCAAGGUUAAGCACUUCAGGUGUGGAGCCGUAGGGAAACCAAGUCUUAAGAGGGCCUUAAGUCAGUAGGAGUAGACCCGAAACCGGGUGAUCUAUCCAUGUCCAGGUUGAAGCUGCCGUAAGAGGCAGUGGAGGACCGAACCCACAUCCGUUGAAAAGGGUGGGGAUGAGGUGUGGAUAGGGGAGAAAUUCCAAUCGAACCCGGAGAUAGCUGGUUCUCCUCGAAAUAGCUUUAGGGCUAGCCUCGAUAUAGAUUUGCGGAGGUAGAGCACUGAAUUUCCUAGGGGGCGUCAAAGCCUACCGAAGAAUAUCAAACUCCGAAUGCCGCGUAAUCGAUUAUCGGGAGUCAGACUGCACGAGAUAAGUUGGGCGGUCAAAAGGGAAAGAGCCCAGACCUUCAGUUAAGGUCCCAAAGUGUGCGUUAAGUGGAAAAGGAUGUGGGAUUUCGAAGACAACCAGGAUGUUGGCUCAGAAGCAGCCAUCCAUUCAAAGAGUGCGUAAUAGCUCACUGGUCGAGAGGUCCUGCGCCGAAAAUGUCCGGGGCUGAAACGCGCCACCGAAACUAAGGAACCGAAAGGUUGGUAGAGGAGCAUUGCAUGCGGGAAGAAGCAGUACCGUAAGGAGCUGUGGACUGCAUGGAAGAGAGAAUGCCGGAAUGAGUAGCGAGAAUAAGGUGAGAAUCCUUAUGGCCGAAUAUCCAAGGUUUCCAGAGUAAAGCUGAUCUGCUCUGGGUAAGUCGGGGCCUAAGGCGAGGUCGAAAGACGUAGCCGAUGGACAACAGGUUUAGAUUCCUGUACCGCAUAUAAACAGAACUGUGGGGACGCAUGUGGAAAGCAUAAGCCGGGAAUGGAAAGACCGGUACAAGCGGGGUAGGUGUGUGACAGGCAAAUCCGUCACAUAAGCCGAAGACGUGAUGUGGAGCGAAAUUUAGUAGUGAAGUAUGUGAGCCAUGUGCCGAGAAAAGCCGCUAUUGUUUUAUAUGUGCCCGUACCGUAAACCGACACAGGUGGAUGAGGAGAGAAUCCUAAGGCCGACGGAAGAAGCAUUGUUAAGGAAUUCGGCAAAAUGACCCCGUAACUUCGGGAGAAGGGGUGCCCACUGAAUGGUGGGCCGCAGAGAAUAGGCUCAAGCAACUGUUUAGCAAAAACACAGGUCUAUGCGAAACCGAAAGGUGAGGUAUAUGGGCUGACGCCUGCCCGGUGCUGGAAGGUUAAGAGGAGAGGUUAGCGCAAGCGAAGCUUUGAAUUUAAGCCCCAGUAAACGGCGGCCGUAACUAUAACGGUCCUAAGGUAGCGAAAUUCCUUGUC
rnacentral:rRNA from 1 species